UACGUAGGGGGCAAGCGUUGUCCGGAUUUAUUGGGCGUAAAGAGCGUGUAGGCGGCCAGACAGGUCCGUUGUGAAAACUCGAGGCUCAACCUCGAGACGCCGAUGGAAACCGUCUGGCUAGAGUCCGGAAGAGGAGAGUGGAAUUCCGUGGUGUAGCGGUGAAAUGCGCAGAUAUCAGGAAGAACACCCGUGGCUAAGGCGGUUCUCUAGUACGGUACUGACGCUGAGACGCGAAAGCGUGGGGAGCGAACAGG
rnacentral:rRNA from 1 species